rnacentral:misc_RNA from 1 species
GAUCGGAAUCAGCAAGAACUGAUUUGAAACACAAAAUACCACAAAAUACCACAAAAUAGGAAGAACGAGAGAUUCUAGUUCUUCGUUCUUUCACCAAAGUUAUUUUUUAAAAAAAAAAUAAUAAAAAAGAGUUCGAUUAAGGCUAGAAACUAAAUUCAAAAAUCAAAAUAGAGCUGCGGUUACUGGCGAAGUCGUUCUUAGAAGAAUGAGAGAAAAUCUUGAAAGAAAUGCAGAAAAUCUACGCAGAAGAAUAAGAAAAUAAAAGAGAAAAGAAAAGCUAGGGCUUCGAGAUCUAAAAAAGGAAGUCCAUGGGAUGUUACAGAGAGCACAGUUUGUCUCUCUUAGUUUCUCUGGAUUAUUGCUUGGAUGUUAGUUUAGCGAGGAGGCCGAUAUUUUAGACAGACUGUAGAGGGAAAAAAAGAAUCUAAUUAACAAAAUAAAUGCAUCUUUUGGUUUAAAUUAUUUUAAAUUUAAUUUCUUAAAGUUGUUGUAGGUAACGGAUUUGAUGGAAAUGUGCUUUCACCGGAAAAGCGCUAGAGCGAGAAACAGGUCGUCAGGUCGUAGCGGCGAUUCCCGCAUGAAGUCGUAACCGUUAGGAUAAUUUUGUAAUUUAAUAACGGAAAAUGAAAAUUUUAUUUUACAUU